AUUGAACGCUGGCGGCAGGCUUAACACAUGCAAGUCGAGCGGGGGAAGGUAGCUUGCUACCGGACCUAGCGGCGGACGGGUGAGUAAUGCUUAGGAAUCUGCCUAUUAGUGGGGGACAACAUCUCGAAAGGGAUGCUAAUACCGCAUACGUCCUGCGGGAGACAGCAGGGGAUCUUCGGACCUUGCGCUAAUAGAUGAGCCUAAGUCGGAUUAGCUAGUUGGUGGGGUAAAGGCCUACCAAGGCGACGAUCUGUAGCGGGUCUGAGAGGAUGAUCCGCCACACUGGGACUGAGACACGGCCCAGACUCCUACGGGAGGCAGCAGUGGGGAAUAUUGGACAAUGGGGGGAACCCUGAUCCAGCCAUGCCGCGUGUGUGAAGAAGGCCUUAUGGUUGUAAAGCACUUUAAGCGAGGAGGAGGCUACUUUAGUUAAUACCUAGAGAUAGUGGACGUUACUCGCAGAAUAAGCACCGGCUAACUCUGUGCCAGCCGCCGCAGUAAUAC
rnacentral:rRNA from 1 species